AAAAAAAAAGAGAAGGUUACUGGAUUCUUUGUACCUGUGAAAAAGGUCAGCAAUGGCUGCUGCUUCUGCUGCUUUAUCGCUGCCGAAGUACAUUUCUGCGAGAGCCCAUCUUUCCAAUUCGAAGUUCAUCGCAUCGCCUUCUCAAUCUUUGAGGAAAGCGAGAACAGUGAAGCUCUCUGUUCGCGCCAUGGGGUCUUCUGCUUCUUCCCAGAGACCUGACAACCUUCAAGACGAAGUUGGCCCUGUCUCCUCGGAGAGUGAUGAAGAGUGGAAGAAACGUCUGACUCCGGAGCAGUAUUACGUUACCCGGCAAAAGGGCACUGAGAGGGCUUUCACCGGGGAGUAUUGGAACACUAAGACCCCAGGAACAUAUCAUUGCAUUUGCUGUGACACACCUCUGUUCGAAUCAGAUACAAAGUUUGACAGUGGAACCGGGUGGCCAUCAUACUAUCAGCCCAUAGGGAGCAAUGUCAAAUCGAAAUUGGAUCUCUCGAUCAUUUUCAUGCCACGACAGGAAGUCCUGUGUGCUGCUUGCGAUGCGCAUCUCGGUCACAUCUUCGAUGAUGGGCCACCUCCCACUGGUAAACGCUAUUGUAUCAACAGUGCUUCAUUGAAGCUGAAACCAAAGUAGAUAGAGGACACACCAAAGUGGGCAUCCUGAUUUUGCGAGCGACUGUUUUGUGUUGCCUUCCCAUAAGCAUAUGGAGAACAAUUGUUUCUGGAGUUUUCUGUGGUCAUGACAUCUACCUCAAGUGUGUGGAUGCGCUUGUAUGACGUAUGCUGCAUUGUAGAGCACUUUCAAUAUGGUGUGAUCAUCCAAUAAACUGUGCUGAAAUUUUGUA